UAUUCUGGUGUCCUAGGCGUAGAGGAACCACACCAAUCCAUCCCGAACUUGGUGGUUAAACUCUACUGCGGUGACGAUACUGUAGGGGAGGUCCUGCGGGAAAAUAGCUCGGCGCCAGGAUGAUAAAAAGCUUAACACUUUUCAUUCUUAUUCCCUAUUGCUCUUGAAAAAGGGAAUAAGAAUGAAAAGGUCAUCUUAUUCAAAACCCCAAUUAUCAAAUCAAAUCUCUCCCACUUCACACCUCGGAACGCACAAUUAUUAUAGAGAGAGGGGCGCUUUCACAUCUUAUUAAGCUAAAAUCUGUGGGCAGAAGAAAGGUUUCUUGUAGGUUACUCCGAGGAACAGAUCUAGUGGAGACAGGGUG
rnacentral:rRNA from 1 species